GGGAGAGGAAUGGAAUCAAUGGUUUAUUCCAUGGCGGGCCGGGACUGGAGUGUCCUCAGCGAAACUCCGGUGCUUUCGCAGCCGCAAUGGCAAUGCAUUGUCUCCUUCCUGACCUUGGAUUACAGUCCACACUGAAAAAAAAAAAAUAAAUAAAGUGAUUAAGAAUAAAAGUUUAAGUGGAUUUAUUUGUAAAUGCUGUUUGUGGCCUUCCCAUAAUGAAUCAGCUUUUCCCCUACAAGUCAUGCUAAGUACUAGUUAGCAAAUUACCUAUUCUC